rnacentral:piRNA from 1 species
UCACGCACCUUGGUCUGUUGCUUCUAGAGU